rnacentral:rRNA from 1 species
AACAGAAAGGCUCUUGCCUCUGUUAUGAUGCUUGUCUCAUGGGAGAUAUGGAAAGAACGAAAUGCCAGAAUUUUUCGCAACGCCGCGACUCCGACCACAAUUAUCGUCACGAGAAUUAAAGAAGAGGCCCACAUGUGGACUUUGGCGGGGGCCAAGCAUUUGAGUAGUCUUAUGUUGCGAGAGUAG